rnacentral:lncRNA from 13 species
AAAUGAAGUGAGAAACUUUUGACUUCCAGUGUAAAAUCCAGAUGCUCAGUGCAGGAUGAAGAAAUAAAGAGAGGGUGAAGUCAUUCUGGGAAGUUUCUUUGAAAGGGGUGCAGUGAGGACCCUGGAAGACAGAGAUCCUAGAAAAAGCAGAGGGAGAAGAGGAAGAGAACACAGAGAAACGCCAGGGAACAGAACUCUUGGUCCAGGAGGCAUAAACCACAAGUGCAAUUAGUCAAAAAAGAACUUGAAAUUAAAAAAUGACUCUAAGCUAAGGAGGGGAGUGCAUAAGUUACCGCCGCCUCAAGACAUUUAUGAAUAAUACAAAUGCCGCGAGGUGCUGCGCCCAAGCACAGUUAAU